ACAAGAGGGAGAGAGCUAAGGGAAACCCUAGUUCUUCAAAUCUCUACAAAAUUGAAGGAGUAAAAGGCCAGAUUUUCAAAGCAUGAGUUAGGAAUCAUGAUCCCUUAAGUGUUAUAAGUAUCAUGCACGAAGGAAGAAGGCACGAGUCAUUCUAAAACUCCAGAAACGCAAGAUCGCUUGUUAAAGAUAUGGCGCAGGCACGAAGAAGGAAGAAGGCACGAGUCAUUCUAAAACUCCAGAAACGCAAGAUCGCUGUAAGUUCAUAUGAACUUCAUUUACCUUUUAUGUAAAUUUACAAAUGGUAAUUUUAGAAUUAAAGCCUCAGUGUAAAGUGUAUAGUGGUUCAUGUUAAAAAUUGUGAUAAGUAGAGUAUCGAAAGAUGAAUAGAGAUGCAAUGUCAAUGGUCAUGCAAUGAUUCGCUUCAAGCGGAUCAAAAUGUUGGAAAGUGUAAUGUUGGAAUGGUUUAUGUAAUGACUUGUUGAUAACGGGUCGAAUUGACGAAAG
rnacentral:lncRNA from 1 species